rnacentral:rRNA from 1 species
UCGAGAAUUUUUCACAAUGGGCGAAAGCCUGAUGGAGCGACGCCGCGUGGGGGAUGAAUGGCUUCGGCCCGUAAACCCCUGUCAUUCGCGAGCAAACGUUAUUAUUUAAAAGAUGAUAGCCUGAUAGUAGCGAAAGAGGAAGGGACGGCUAACUCUGUGCCAGCAGCCGCGGUAAUACAGAGGUCCCAAGCGUUGUUCGGAUUUACUGGGCGUAAAGGGUGCGUAGGUGGUGGGGUAAGUCGGAUGUGAAAUCUCCGAGCUCAACUCGGAAAGUGCAUUGGAAACUACCCUGCUCGAGGGUUGAGGGGGGACUGGAAUACUUGGUGUAGCAGUGAAAUGCGUAGAUAUCAAGUGGAACACCAGUGGCGAAGGCGAGUCCCUGGACAACUCCUGACACUG